UUCGAUUAUGGCUCAGAUUGAACGCUGGCGGGAUGCUUUACACAUGCAAGUCGAACGGCAGCACGGACUUCCGGUCUGGUGGCGAGUGGCGAACGGGUGAGUAAUGUAUCGGAACGUGCCUAGUAGCGGGGGAUAACUACGCGAAAGCGUAGCUAAUACCACAUACUUACGCCCUUCGGGGGAAAGCGGGGGACCUUCGGGCCUCGCACUAUUAGAGCGGCCGAUAUCGGAUUGGCCUAGUUGGUGGGGUAACGGCUCACCAAGGCGACGAUCCGUAGCUGGUUUGAGGACGACCAGCCACUGGGACUGAGACACGGCCAGACUCCUACAGGAGGCAGCAGUGGGAAUUUUGGACAAUGGGGGAAACCCUGAUCCAGCCAUCCCGCGUGCGAUGAAGGCCUUCGGGUUGUAAAGCACUUUUGGCAGGAAAGAAACGGCACCGGGAUAAUACCCCGUGCAACUGACGGUACCUACCCAGAAUAAGCACCGGCUAACUACGUGCCAGCAGCCGCGGUAAUACGUAGGGUGCAAGCGUUAAUCGGAAUUACUGGGCGUAAAGCGUGCGCAGGCGGUUCGGAAAGAAAGAUGUGAAAUCCAGAGCUUAACUUUGGAACUGCAUUUUUAACUACCGAGCUAAGAGUGUGUCAGAGGGAGGUGGAAUUCCGCGUGUAGCAGUGAAAUGCGUAGAUAUGCGGAGGAACACCGAUGGCGAAGGCAGCCUCCUGGGAUAACACUGACGCUCAUGCACGAAAAACGUGGGGAGCAAACAGAGUUAGAUACCCUGGUAGUCCACGCCCUAAACGAUGUCAACUAGCUGUUGGGGCCUUCGGGCCUUGGUAGCGCAACUAAUGCGUGAAGUUGACCGCCUGGGGAGUACGGUCGCAGAUUAAAACUCAAAGGAAUUGACGGGGACCCGCACAAGCGGUGGAUGAUGUGGAUUAAUUCGAUGCAACGCGAAAAACCUUACCUACCCUUGACAUGUCUGGAAUCCCGAAGAGAUUUGAGGAGUGCUCGCAAGAGAACCGGAACACAGGUGCUGCAUGGCUGUCGUCAGCUCGUGUCGUGGGGAUCGGGUUAAGUCCCGCAACGAGCGCAACCCUUGUCAUUAGUUGCUACGAAAGGGCACUCUAAUGAGACUGCCCAUUAAACCGGAGGAAGGUGGGGAUGACGUCAAGUCCUCAUGGCCCUUAUGGGUAGGGCUUCACACGUCAUACAAUGGUCGGGACAGAGGGUCGCCAACCCGCGAGGAGCCAAUCCCAGAAACCCGAUCGUAGUCCGGAUCGCAGUCUGCAACUCGACUGCGUGAAGUCGGAAUCGCUAGUAAUCGCGGAUCAGCAUGUCGCGGUGAAUACGUUCCCGGGUCUUGUACACACCGCCCGUCACACCAUGGGAGUGGGUUUUACCAGAGAAGUAGUUAGCCUAACCGUAAGGAGGGCGAUUACCACGGUAGGAUUCAUGACUGGGGUGAAGUCGUAACAAGGUAG
rnacentral:rRNA from 1 species